rnacentral:tRNA from 1 species
GGGGAUAUAGCUCAGUUGGUAGAGUACUUGCCUCACAUGCACAAGGGCCUGGGUUCGAUCCCCAGCACCACCA